rnacentral:rRNA from 1 species
UACGUAGGGAGCAAGCGUUGUCCGGAAUCAUUGGGCGUAAAGCGCGCGUAGGCGGCCCUGUAAGUCCGUUGUGAAAGUCAAAGGCUCAACCUUUGAAAGCCGAUGGAUACUGCAGGGCUAGAGUCCGGAAGAGGCGAGUGGAAUUCCUGGUGUAGCGGUGGAAUGCGCAGAUAUCAGGAGGAACACCCAUUGCGAAGGCAGCUCGCUGGGACGUUACUGACGCUGAGACGCGAAAGCGUGGGGAGCAAACAGG